rnacentral:rRNA from 1 species
UACGUAGGGGGCAAGCGUUGUCCGGAAUCAUUGGGCGUAAAGAGCGUGUAGGCGGCCAGAUAAGUCCGCUGUGAAAUCUCGAGGCUCAACUUCGAGCUGUCGGUGGAAACUGUCUGGCUAGAGUCCGGAAGAGGAGAAUGGAAUUCCUGGUGUAGCGGUGAAAUGCGCAGAUAUCAGGAAGAACACCGGUGGCGAAGGCGGGUCUCUGGGCCGAUACUGACGCUGGAGGAGCGAAAGCGUGGGGAGCGAACAGG